CGCACAUUGCGCCCCCUGGUAUUCCGGGGAGCAUGCCUGUUCGAGCGUCAUUUUCCCCUUCAAGCGUAGCUUGAUGUUGAGCCUUGCGUCUAUAGGGACGGGCUUGAAAGUCAGUUGGUGCACACCUUCUAGCUCCAGAUGCAGUAGUAAUCACCUCACCUGAAAGCUGUUGAAGGAUGACGUAUCAGAACAACAGUGUGUGCUGCUCAGCACAUCUGAAGAUUGACCUCGAAUCAGGUAGGGAUACCCGCUGAACUUAA
rnacentral:misc_RNA from 1 species